AGCAGCCUCGUCAAAUUCAGUGCAUCCUUUCGUGUGGGUGUCACUGGCCCAAAGGGCUGCCACAGCCACCGUGUAGCUCAUGGGCCCCAGCGAGCGGUUCUGUGCCCUCUGGGGAUAAAUUGUGCUACAUACAAAC
rnacentral:snoRNA from 1 species